rnacentral:misc_RNA from 1 species
GGACUACCCGGGUAUCUAAUCCUGUUCGCUCCCCACGCUCUCGUGCCUCAGCGUCAGUUCCAGACCAGCCGGCCGCCUGCGCCACUGGUGUUCUUCGUGAUCUCUAUGCAUUUCACCGCUACACCACGAAUUCCACCGGCCUCUUCUGGACUCAAGAGACCCAGUAUCGAAGGCCAUUUUACCGUUAAGCGGCAAGAUUUCACCCUCGACUUAAGCCCCCGCCUGCGCACCCUUUACACCCAAUGAUUCCGGACAACGCUUGCAUCCUCUGUCUUACCGCGGCGGCUGGCACC